AACGAACGCUGGCGGCAUGCCUAACACAUGCGAGUCGAACGAGACCUUCGGGUCUAGUGGCGCACGGGUGCGUAACGCGUGGGAACCUGCCCUUAGGUUCGGAAUAACUCCCCGAAAGGGGUGCUAAUACCGGAUAAUGUCUUCGGACCAAAGAUUUAUCGCCUUUGGAUGGGCCCGCGUUGGAUUAGCUAGUUGGUAGGGUAAAAGCCUACCAAGGCGACGAUCCAUAGCUGGUCUGAGAGGAUGAUCAGCCACACUGGGACUGAGACACGGCCCAGACUCCUACGGGAGGCAGCAGUGGGGAAUAUUGGACAAUGGGCGAAAGCCUGAUCCAGCAAUGCCGCGUGAGUGAUGAAGGCCUUAGGGUUGUAAAGCUCUUUUACCCGGGAUGAUAAUGACAGUACCGGGAGAAUAAGCUCCGGCUAACUCCG
rnacentral:rRNA from 1 species